AUGGGGUAUUGUGUCCUUAUGGGUAUUGUGUAUUAUGGGGUAUUGUUUCAUCACGGGGUAUUGUGUCGUCAUGGGGUAUUGUGUCAUUAUGGGGUAUUGUGUCGUUAUGGGGUAUUGUGUCGUCAUGGGGUAUUGUGUCGUUACCGGGUAUUGUGUCGUCACGGGGUUGGUUGUGGCUAUUGUGUCGUUACGGGUUGGUAUUGUGUCGUUACCGGGUAUUGUGUCGUUACGGUGUAUUGUGUCGUUACCGGGAUUGUGUCGUUACCGGGUUAUUGUGUCAUUAUGGGGUUUGUGUCAUUAUGGGGUAUUGUUUCAUUAUUGGGUAUUGUGUCCUUAUUGGUAUUGUGUCAUUUGGGGUAUGUGCGUUACGGGUUAUUUGUGUGUUACCGUGUAUUGUGUCGUACGUGGGUAUGUGUCGUUACCGGGUAUUGGUCGUUAUGGGUAUUGUGUCGUUAUGGGGUAUUGUGUUCGUAUGGGGGGUGGGGGUGGUAUUGUGUCGUUACCGGGUAUUUUGUCGUACCGGGUUUUAUGUCGUCACGGGGGUAUUGUGUCAUUAUGGGGUAUUGUGUCGUUAUGGGGUAUUGUGUCAUUACGGGUAUUGUGUCGUUAGGGGUGGUUUAUUGUGUCAUCACGGGGUAUGGUGUCAUGGGGUAUUGUGUCGUUAUGGGGUAUUGUGUCAUUAUGGGGUAUUGUGUCAUUAGGGGUAUUGUGUCGUCAUGGGGUAUUGUGUUCUUAUGGGUUAUUGUGUCGUUAGGUGGUUGUGUCAUUACGGGUUAUUGUGUCGUUAUGGGGUAUUGUGUCGUCACGGGGUAUUGUGUGUCAGGGGUAUUGUAUCAUUAUGGGGUAUUUGUGUAUUAUGGGUAUUGUGUCAUUAUGGGGUAUUGUGUCGUUAUGGGGUAUUGUGUGUCAUUUAUGGGGUAUUGUGUCAUUAUGGGGUAUUGAUGUCAUUUAUGGGGUUUAUUAUGUCGUUCUUAUGGGGUAUUGUGUCAUUACUGGGGUAUUGUGUCAUUAUGGGGGUAGUGUAUGUCUUAUGGGGUUAUAUGGUGGUAUUGUGUCGUAUGGGUUGUUGUUGUCGUUAUGGGGUAUUGUGUCGUUAUGGGGUAUUUGUGUAGUAUGGUUGUGUCACUUUGGGUAUUGUGUCAUUAUGGGGUAUUAUGUCGUUAUGGGGUAUUGUGUCGUUAUGGGUAUUGUGUCUAUGGGGGGUGUUGGUAUUGUGUCAUUAUGGGUUUAAUGGUUAUGUAUGUUAUGGGGUAUUGUGUCGUUAUGGGUAUUGUGUCAUUAUGGGGUGGUAUUGUGUCAUUAUGGGGUUAUUGUGUUCCAUUAUGGGGUAUUGUGUCAUAGGGGUAUUUGUAUACUUAUGGUGUAUU
rnacentral:lncRNA from 1 species